UACGUAGGGCGCAAGCGUUAUCCGGAAUUAUUGGGCGUAAAGAGCGUGUAGGCGGCCCGAUAAGUCCGCCGUGAAAGUCCAGGGCUCAACCCUGGAAUGCCGGUGGAAACUGUCGGGCUGGAGUCCGGAAGAGGCGAGUGGAAUCCUGGUGUAGCGGUGAAAUGCGCAGAUAUCAGGAGGAACACCAAUGGCGAAGGCAGCUCGCUGGGACGGUACUGACGCUGAGACGCGAAAGCGUGGGGAGCAAACAGG
rnacentral:rRNA from 1 species